UCUUUUCCCGUCUGAACAGCUGUUUAAGUGGGGGAAGGUGAAGAGAGAGACGCUAGCCCCUGGAGGUCACUUGUUUGAAAGGAGAGAUCACGGGGUCCCAGCAGGGCGCUGCCCUGUUCGAGGUGGGCACCUGGGUUCUGAGGGCGUCUGGAUGGGACGGGACAGGCUGGAGCUCGGUGAGGAGGUGCAGGGGAGCUUAGGUUUGGGUCGUGUGUGGCAUUUAAGAUUAAUAUGUUGUCAGUGACGAAAGCAACACUGUUUACAUAAAAGCCAUUUUUAUAAUUCUCACCAGUUAGAAGCAAAAGGAAGGGACGUGAGUUUUGCAUGGAGGCGCGUCAGUGAAGGGCGGGCGUCCGUUCCUGUGCCGUCUUUGUUGCUGCACGUGGGCUGUGCCUCUGGCCGCUCCAGCACCCAGCUGUGCCCCGGGGUGGGGUGCCUGUCAGUUGGGGCAGGAGGAAGAUCCCCGGAGAGCCUGGGAGAAAAGGUUCUGUGUUCUCGGCUGGGGCUCACCCUCAUAUUUAUGAUCUUAAUUUAUACAGCACUCACCGUGGAGCAUAUGUCUGCUGUGUUGCUAUGUACAUAGUCCAUGUCAGGGGCUGUAAAUAAGUGGUUCUGUGUGUAAAUAAAAUAAGCCUGUUUUGGA